CUUUGGAAUCUGUACUGGGUUCACAUGGCAGGCGAAGAACUGAAUCUCAACAGUGGAGUGACUGCCUCUGAUUUACAGAUUUCUCAAAGGAGCCAACACCAAACCCACAUCCCAUCUGCAGAAGAAAGAAUUGUCCCCAGAGUUAUGGCCUUCUUGGAGCUUUAUGGGGCCUUUGAAGUGUGACUCAAGUCAGCAUGGGAGAAAGAGUGCAGCAUCGAUUUUCUGUUUCCAUUGUGUCAGCUGGAAAUGGGAUCAGCAUGGAGGAUGCAGCUGGGUUGAAGCAAAUGCUGUGAUAGACUCCAGGCCUUGAAGGCAAUACCCAAAAGAAUAUCCCUUUGUCCAAAGUGAGUCCCCAAGGCAGAACCUCAAUGAGCAGAAUGAGGUGAGGGUCAGCAGGAGACACAGG
ensembl:lncRNA